UACUUAUAGUAUUGUGUUCCUGCCAGUGAGUAAGGUUGCCAGAGCUCAACGAGGUGGGCCCCUUUAGGGUCGGCAACGCGCAUGUAACUCCUCUGGAGUUGCAGGCGUACAUAGGCUACGGAGGCUGCUUAACAUCAGGCGGGCCGUAUGCUUGUUUGCCACCGACGUAGUAUAUAUA